UACGGGGGGGGCAAGCGUUGUUCGGAAUUACUGGGCGUAAAGGGUCUGUAGGUGGCCAACUAAGUCAGACGUGAAAUCCCUCAGCUUAACUGGGGAACUGCGUCUGAUACUGGUUGGCUUGAGUGCAGGAGAGGAAUGCGGAAUUCCAGGUGUAGCGGUGAAAUGCGUAGAUAUCGGGAGGAACACCAGUGGCGAAGGCGGCGAUCUGGGAAGAUACUGACGCUGAGGUGCGAAAGCGUGGGGAGCAAACAGG
rnacentral:rRNA from 1 species